rnacentral:rRNA from 1 species
CCUACGGGUGGCAGCAGUGAGGAAUAUUGGUCAAUGGACGAGAGUCUGAACCAGCCAAGUAGCGUGAAGGAUGACUGCCCUAUGGUUUGUAAACUCCUUUUAUAAAGGAAUAAAACGAGGCACGUGUGCCUUUUUGCAUGUACUUUAUGAAUACGGAUCGGCUAACUCCGUGCCAGCAGCCGCGGUAAUACGGAGGAUCCGAGCGUUAUCCGGAUUUAUUUGGUUUAAAGGGAGCGUAGAUGGGUUGUUAAGUCAGUUGUGAAAGUUUGCGGCUCAACCGUAAAAUUGCAAGUGAUACUGGCAGUCUUGAGUGCAGUUGAGGAAGGCGGAAUUCGAGGUGUAGCGGUGAAAUGCGUAGAUAUCACGAAGAACACCGAUGGCGAAGGCAGCUUACUGAACUGUGACUGACAUUGAGGCUCGAAAGUGUGGGUAGCAAACAGGAUUAGAUACCCGAGUAGUC